rnacentral:rRNA from 1 species
GCUCUAUACCCUUUGUGAACAUACCUAUAACUGUUGCUUCGGCGGGUAGGGUCUCCGCGACCCUCCCGGCCUCCCGCCUCCGGGCGGGUCGGCGCCCGCCGGAGGAUAACCAAACUCUGAUUUAACGACGUUUCUUCUGAGUGGUACAAGCAAAUAAUCAAAACUUUUAACAACGGAUCUCUUGGUUCUGGCAUCGAUGAAGAACGCAGCGAAAUGCGAUAAGUAAUGUGAAUUGCAGAAUUCAGUGAAUCAUCGAAUCUUUGAACGCACAUUGCGCCCGCCAGCAUUCUGGCGGGCAUGCCUGUUCGAGCGUCAUUUCAACCCUCAAGCUUUGCUUGGGUGUUGGGGCCCUACAGCUGAUGUAGGCCCUCAAAGGUAGUGGCGGACCCUCCCGGAGCCUCCUUUGCGUAGUAACUUUACGUCUCGCACUGGGAUCCGGAGGGACUCUUGCCGUAAAACCCCCCAAUUUUCCAAAGGUUGACCUCGGAUCAGGUAGGAAUACCCGCUGAACUUAA